UGCCAGCCGCCGCGGUAAUACGGAGGGGGUUAGCGUUGUUCGGAAUUACUGGGCGUAAAGCGCACGUAGGCGGAUUGGAAAGUUGGGGGUGAAAUCCCGGGGCUCAACCCCGGAACUGCCUCCAAAACUAUCAGUCUAGAGUUCGAGAGAGGUGAGUGGAACUCCGAGUGUAGAGGUGAAAUUCGUAGAUAUUCGGAGGAACACCAGUGGCGAAGGCGGCUCACUGGCUCGAUACUGACGCUGAGAUGCGAAAGCGUGAAAAGCAAACAGGAUUAGAUA
rnacentral:rRNA from 1 species